rnacentral:sRNA from 1 species
UUCUUCUUUCAAGAUCCUGCCCGCCGAUGUGCCCGCCCACCACCCUCACUAUCGAUUGUUUGAAAGCCUCACUUCACUUCCCUCCCCAUUAUCUGGGUGAUCUUUCUUCCUACUCCACUUGUCUAAAUGCCACCCAUCCUCCCAGUCUUAACGUAAAGUUCUCCUUUGAAGGCUAGUGUAUUUGCUGUUUGUACACUGCCUAAUUGGACAAGACUGAAGCAUUUGUGGCAGGAAGCGGGUCCCUUGCUACAUUCUCAGGACCGCCUUUAUGCUUAGAUUCUUUGAAGACGCGAUCCACAUGACCAUAUCCGGAGGCCAGCCUACCCCACCAAAAUGAAGUUAUAUAUAUUUUUUUUAGUUCCUAUUUGAAUGGUUCUGAGAAAUAACUGUGUUGGUCUGGUGGUCCUCACAAGUUCACCUUUGGAUCACUCAAUCAUGUCUGCAAGGAGGACUUAGCAUACCCGGCCAAAUCAAGUGAGAUCUCAAGACUGGAGGGGGAGGGACAGUCAGGAUCAAUGAUCCAGGUAUAGUCAAGGGGGGCAUUUCUGUCAUUUAGAGCCAUUGAAAACACUUUCAAGGCAUCGUUAGAAGUGGCAGCCAAUGUAAUUGUGAGAAGUAAAGUGAGCUGCUAAAAAUGCCUUCAGGUUAAGUCUUUGUAUUAAAGUCGGAGUCAUAUUUAUCCAAGGAAUGCAGAGCCUGGAGGCCAAAUCUACUGACCAGGAUACUUGGCCACAGUGUACUCAGAGGAGCUAAAAGCUCACAGGGACUUGGCUACUUCUUCACAAUCAGGGUAGGCUCAGAAUAUUCAAGUGUGAAGAAGCAUACAAAAGACUGUCCAGCCCCUUGCCCAUCUCUCUGAGAACAUUAGCUGCUGGGUGAUAAAGCUAUAUUAUCUUCUCCCUCACCUUUCCCAAGAAUCUCCUGGCAAAGUUCAAACCUGAUGCUUUGUGUUAACUCAUUUCCAUGACAACAAAUUGGCCCUCUUUCUUGUCGCCUGGCCUUCAUCACAUGACAGGAAAGGGGCAACGAGCCUCGAUGUAUUUCUACAUGAAGAGCAGGAAUGUGUGCUAACAGGAAAAGUGUGUCUCAUUAACUUUUAUCAAGAGCCAGGGAGAACAAAACAAGAACCGGCAGGCUAGGUUGACAUUUUCCUCCUAGAUACCCAAUUACAACUAAUUCUUCCCCAAAGCAUGGAAGCAAGCAUAAUGUAUUCUAAAACAUAAUUAAUCAUAGGCAAAACUUCUUAGGGAUUAAAAUGAUUCUUAUGGAA